UACGAAGGGGGCUAGCGUUGUUCGGAUUUACUGGGCGUAAAGCGCACGUAGGCGGAUUGUUAAGUCGGGGGUGAAAUCCCAGGGCUCAACCCUGGAACUGCCUUCGAUACUGGCAAUCUUGAGUCCGGAAGAGGUGAGUGGAACUCCUAGUGUAGAGGUGGAAUUCGUAGAUAUUAGGAAGAACACCAGUGGCGAAGGCGGCUCACUGGUCCGGUACUGGACGCUGAGGUGCGAAAGCGUGGGGAGCAAACAGG
rnacentral:rRNA from 1 species